CACCGAGACACACAACGUCAGGCGCACACCCCCUGCAAAUUUCGUCGUCGGAAUCUGCCUCACGCGCCGCCGCUGACCACCCACGCGCGUGAGCCCUUCUCCGGUCACUUUUUCGACCGGCUCCUUUUGGACAGUUUUUCCCCCCCACAAUUCCGACCAACUUGGUACUCCCGGAAUAUUCCCCUGGUCACUUUCAUUUUACACUGUCCACUUAGCCACCUCAUUUUUCUCACUGCUUACCCACAGCAGAUCUCGGUGCUGUCCAGAGGUCUGGAAUUUUGUUUCGGCCGGAAAUUUUUCUGGCAACCCCUGCACUUCUCCUUUUCCUUUUUAGUCUCUCCUCUGCUUUUGUGGGUGUGUUCUGUUUUAUUGGACAGGUGCCUAUUUCGCCGGUGAGGAUCUCCGGCAACUCUCGUUCAGACUCGCGGCAGGACGCAAUAGAGCUGCACGUUCUGCUAAGCUUCAGGAAAACUUGGGCGCAUCAAAGCACACUUCGGCUCCUUUUGGACAGUUUUUUCCCCCCACAAUUCCGACCAACUUGGUACUCCCGGAAUAUUCCCCUGGUCACAUUCGUUUUACAAUGUCCACUUAGCCACCUCAUUUUUCUCACUGCUUACCACAGCAGAUCUCGAUGCUGUCCAAAGGUCUGGAAUUUUUGUUUCCGCCGGAAAUUUUUCUGGCAACCCCUGCACUUUUCCUUUGUAGUCUCUCCUCUGCUUUUGUGGGUGUGUUCUGUUUUCUUGGACAGGUGCCUAUUUCACCGGU
rnacentral:lncRNA from 1 species